rnacentral:rRNA from 1 species
ACUCUACGGGGAGGCAGCAGUGGGGGAAUAUUGCACAAUGGGGGGAAAACCCCUGAUGCAGCCAUGCCGCGUGUGUGAAGAAGGCCUUCGGGUUGUAAAGCACUUUCAGUAGGGAGGAAGGUAGUGUAGUUAACACCUGCAUUAUUUGUACGUUACCUACAGAAGAAGCACCGGCUAACUCCGUGCCAGCAGCCGCGGUAAUACGGAGGGUGCGAGCGUUAAUCGGAAUUACGUGGGCGUAAAGCGCAUGCAGGCGGCCUGUUAAGUCAGAUGUGAAACGCCCGGGGUCUUAACCGUCGGAAUUGCAUUUGAAACUGGCAGGCUAGAGUCUUGUAGAGGGGUUAGAAUUUCGAGGUGUAGCGGUGAAAUGCGUAGAGAUCUAGAAGGAAUACCG